AAGCAGGAUUUACACUACAAUAUGACUGUUAAGUGCUUUGUUGUUGUUCCCCCUGCUCAAAAUAAAGUCGUUUCUUAACGACACCUGUCUGCUUUACGCCUGUAGAUCUAGCAGCCAGGAAGACACCUGUCUGCUUUAUGCCUAUAGAUCUAGCAGCCAGGGACGCUUGGUCUCAGACAU